UGGUAUGAGUCCCGGCUGGGUCCGCUGGCAUUUCUGUGUGGAGUUUGUAGCCUGUUUUUUUAUGAAAAAAUAUUAAUUUUUAUUUUAUUUCUAUUUAUCACAAGAAAAGAACUCGAAUAAAUGGUUGUAAUACUGAAAAAAAAAAUUAGACACUGUGUGUAUUUGAUUAAUUUGUUUCUACAUGCAAUUUCAGAGAAGUGCCUCGGUGACAUGACAGAUAGCUUUGGUUUGUGACAGAAAUGUUGAAAGUUCUCCCAGUUCUUCUUCUUUCCCACCACACAUUUAUGCAUGUGUAAAUAAUGCUCCACAGUUCCACAAUCAUUCCUCUGACUGUUAAAUCACAUGUGAAUCUCUUAUAACCUCAUUCACUUACUGCUUCAAGAAAUCCAAGAGGCGAGGGCUGGGACAAAUGCAGUGUUUAGUUUACAUCCACUAACAUGGCCAGCAGGCCUCACUGAUCUGGGCUACAUCCCUGUGUAAAUGUUUUCUGCAUUGGGUUGAAUUUAUUUGAACCCUUUCAGAAACACAUGGAGUCAGAUGUGCUUCAGGCAUUAGUGAUGAGCCAGUCUAGAUCAAACACAAUGUGCUAGAAGACUGAGUACCUGUCUUACUUCUGUCCUCACAGAUAAAACUGAACAGAACGCCACAAACUUGAAGCAGGACUUCCAGGACUGAGAGAAAUAAACAACUAUUAAUUGAAGUGAAAGCACAAGCGGCCGGCACUUCUGUUGACAUACAGUACAUGAAGGGCUCUGUCUGUGAGAGCAAUGGCCUUGACCCCCCAGUUCUGUGUUCUGCUCAGUUGGCUUCAGCUCUUCUGUGACUUUUCUUGACGUCUCAGCAUCAUUCUACACUUUUUUUACAGGGGAAGCUCGCUUGUAUAAAAAGUGUAGAAUGAUGCUGAGUCGUCAAGAAAAGUCACAGAAGAGCUGAAGCCAACUGAGCAGAACACAGAACUGGGGGGUCAAGGCUAUUGCUCUCACGGACAGAGCCCUUCAUGUACUGUAUGUCAACAGAAAUGCCGGCUGCUUGUGCUUUCACUUCAGUUAAUAGUUGUUUAUUUCUCUCAGUCCUGGAAGUCCUGCUUUAAGUUUGUGGCAUUCUGUUCAGUUUUAUCUGUGAGGACAGAAGUAAGACAGGUACUCAGUCUUCUAGCACAGAGUCAUUGUGUUUGAACUAGACUGGCUCAUCACUAAUGCCUGAAGCACAUCUGACUCCAUGUGUUUCUGAAAGGGUUCAAAUAAAUUCAACACAACGCAGAAAACAUUUACACAGUGAUGUAGCCCAGAUCAGUGAGGCCUGCUGGCCAUGUUAGUGGAUGUAAACUAAACACUGCAUUUGUCCCAGUCCUCGCCUCUUGGAUUUCUUGAAGCAGUAAGUGGAUGAGAUUAUAAGAGAUUCACAUGUGCUUUAACAGUCAGAGGAAUGAUUGUGGAAGUGUGGAGCAUUAUUUACACAUGCAUAAAUGUGUGGUGAGAAAGAAGAAGAACUGGGAGAACUUUCAACAUUUCUGUCACAAACCAAAGCUAUCUGUCAUGUCCCCGAGGCACUUCUCUGAAAUUGCAUGGAGAAACAAAUUAAUCAAAUACACACAGUGUCUACAUUAUUUUUUCAGUAUUACAACUAUUUAUUCAAGUUAUUUUCUUGUGAUAAAUAAAAAUACAAUUAAAAAUAAGAUUUAUUUUAAAUGAAAAACAGGCUACAAAGGUUUGUCCCUCAAUAUAACUCAACCCUAUUACGCUAGCAUUGUUCCACCUAUAGCAAUUUAUAUGUAUUGUUACAUCACAGACAGGAAGUGACAUCAUUCAGCUCUCUUUAACAGCACGGUGGAAAAGAAGGAAAGAUAUAUUUUCAUUCAUUUAAUUUCUUUGAGGUUUAUUAUGGUUAGGAAGGGUACGGUCAAGCUUAACAAUUCAACCCUGUAACGUAAAACUAAGAUGGAGUAUGACUGUUUUCUUAAUGUCCAAACAAUAUGACAUAUUCUAGUUUAACUGCUGCCAUGUGGACCUUCUCUCUUAAACCACACGAAGAGCAGCGGCCAUUUUGUUUUAGUGACACAACCCCGUCACACUCGACCCCGUCACUCAUCUCAUUGUUUCAGGGUUGUAAUCUUGUAACAGGAUUGAGAUUGUCUCCUAAUUUAUCAAGAACAUUUCAGUAAAUAUAUACUGACUAUAACUUUAUUUAGUCACUGAGAGAAUAUUUGAAGCAGUGUUUCCACUGAAACUGUGACACAAUCUUAUCUCAGACAUGGCGCUGAAGAAGAUUUUAUUCUCUCUGUAUGAAGUGUUUUCUAAGUGUAAAGCAGUUAAUUUUCUUUUCUCAAAAUGUAUG